GUUUGGAAGAAAAAAACUUAUUUUUCCAUAGUACAAUCUUAUUCUUUAGUAAAAUCACAAUCAUUUUCGAGCGGUAGUGAGCAUCCAAAACCAAAGGGUUUUUCUGGGCAACAAACAAAUAAUAAGAUUUUGGAAUAA
rnacentral:rRNA from 1 species